GCUCCAGUAGCUUAAUUGGUAAAGCGGUGGGUUUAUAACCCAUGAUCCCCAGAUUAGGGAACGAGUGCAGGUUCAAGUCCUGCCUGGAGCACCA
rnacentral:tRNA from 1 species